rnacentral:rRNA from 1 species
GACAGAGGGCUCAAACGUUGUUCGGAAUUACUGGGCAUAAAGCGCACGCAGGCGGCUUGCUAAGUCGAUUGUGAAAUCCCCCGGCUCAACCGGGGAACUGCAUUCGAUACUGGCAGGCUUGAGGACGGGAGGGGUAAGUGGAACUCCAGGUGGAACGGUGAAAUGUGUAGAUAUCUGGAGGAACACCGGUGGCGAAAGCGGCUUACUGGCCCGUAUCUGACGCUCAUGUGCGAAAGCUAGGGGAGCAAACGGG